ACAUAAUUUGCAGGCUGGGACAUAAGUGCUGACUGAGAAUUACUGGCAGUGUUUAAUAAUGAAGUGCAGUAUUAAUCCUGAAAAGGUGAGCACAACCACAAGAAGUUCUAGGAAACACAGGCAGAGGACUAAAAAUGGACAUCGAUAAAAGAAAUAGUAAUUUAAAUAAUCAGAAACAUUUGAAACAAAUUUAAGAUUGAAACAGUUUCUCACUGACAGACUAAGAGCAAAAUAAUUGCUAAAAACAAAGUGUUGGAUUCUAAGAAAACCAGAACCUACCAAAACCUGCAGCUAGAAAAAAACUGUUUGUGUUAUAGUGAAUGUAGGGUGUUCUAUUCUGUAUUUGGACUAAAGGAUAUGUAUUAAAUUUUGUGAAAGAAAUAUGUGAUCAUGUUAAACUCAUGAAAAUUCCACCCCAGAAUUU